rnacentral:lncRNA from 1 species
UAGGUGUCCAAAAAUUCGUCUGGCUUUUGCCUUGUGCUGCUGCUCCUGCAUUCUGUGGAUGCUUUGUAUUAUAAAGGGAGCGGCAUGACGAGCAGUUUAUUAUGUCAACUUGAAGCCGUGUUGUACUUAUUACUUCGUCAAUGUUUAAUUUGUAAUGACAUUUGAACAACUGUAGAUACUAAAUCGAGUUUCAGUCUGUCUGCUAUGGGGCUCUAGUCUCGUCAUAUGCCUUGUUCUGACUAUCAGAUUUCGGUCGGUGAAGAGGUAGAUUUUCUUGUCCCCUUUGCCGUUGAACAUGCUAACAAAUGGAUUGCCCCUACCAAAGAGUUAGUUGCCAAAUUUUUGGUUGAGGUUUUGCUUGCCAAUGGAUUGGCCAACGAAGGGUUUUUAUCAUUUAUGCCACUAGUUGUGUUGCACUACUUAGUUUUGCCACUAGGAAUUUCAAUUGCUCAAAAAUGCCACUGGACAUUAUUACUGUCAGCUCAAAUCUUAUUUGCCAUGUUAUAAUGACAUAAAUACCUAUGAAUCAACAUGUUAGCUCUGCCGCUAUCUCACUACAAUAAAGUGUUGGCCCCACUUGACCCCAACAACAUUUUUAUUUUCUUGUAAAAUUAUUCGCUUGCUUACUUUUGACAAGUGGGGCCCACACUUAUCAUUGUGAGAUAGAGAUAACUGACAUGUGGGUCGGGGUAUUUUUACCAUAUAACAUGGUCAACGAGUUUGACCUGACAAUAACGAUGUCUAAUGGCAUUUUUGAGCAAAAAUCUGAUAGAGCAAUGGCAUUUUUUAGAUAUCUAAUGGCAUUUUCUAGCGAGCAUCUCACAGAACGAUGGCAUUUUUGAGUAGUCGUAACUUCUAAUGGCAAAACUGAGUAGUGGGACAUAACUAGUGGCAUAAAUGAUAAAAACCCAAAAUAAAAAAGCACUCUAUUGCAAACAUUCAUAUUCUACAUAAAAAAACAUGUUAAUAAAUGCAUGACGGGAACAUGAUUUCCAGAAUUGUCUUCAUGCAACAAAUACCAUGCGAGGAUACAUUCUUUUAUGUCAUUGAACUCUUUCUUAAGUGAAGGACUCCACGAAAAGAAUAUAAAAUUUCAAGCACAUAAGAUAAAUAGAACAAAAUGUUGUAGUUCCUUCAUCUUUGAAAACAAGGCCAUUUUUUGUUUUUCGAGUCAAAUUUGAACUUAUAAUUUUGGUCAACAAAAUAUGGAUUAUAUAUCAUCAAAAGGUUCUUUAAAAUGUGCAUUCAAUGACAUACUUUUUGUUGCAUAUAACUCAUUGUUUUGGAAAAUUCAAUAAUCAAAGUUAGAGAUAAAAAUAUGAAAUGGCCUUAUAUAUAGACAUGGAGGGAGUAGGUAAAGUGCAACCAAAUAAAAUCCAAUAAUAUCUUGACCGCAAGCACAAGCAACCGUGCAAUGUGAGGGAAGAGAGAUGGGUAGAGUGACUUCUAAUCAAAUCAUGCUUACCCUGUACCACCACGGACGUUUUGGUAUAAGGGUGUCCGUAAUUGGAGUAUCACACAUAGUGUUAUUGUGCAUGUCAACUAGGUAAUUUUGAUAAUGUGCAUAGGAUAAAAUAAAAAAAAGAGGAUUGAGUAUAGUGUCAAAAAACGUCUUACAUUAUUGCAUGGAGGGAGUAUUAGAGCAUCUCUAGUAGAUCCCGUAAGAACGGUCAAACCUACAGAUUUAGGGCAUAAAAAACCGUACCGAAUAUGGAGGAUUUGAGCCGUUUUUUCAUGAUCAUGUAAAACCGGCCAACGCUGGAGCACGGGCCUGCGACGCCACGCGCGAGCAGCGAGCAGGCGGAGGAGCUCGCCGGCGGCCGGCCGGAUCAUCGCCGGAGCACGCGGCAAGCCAGAGCGUCAUUAGAGAGUCGCCGGAGCAUCACCGGAGCGUCGUCGGAGUAGGCAGCGGGCCGGAGCGGCGCCGUUCUGGUCGGUUGGAGUAAGAGUUCGUCCAUGCGUGCAUCUCGAGGAAGAAGAAGCGUGAGGAGAAAAAGAAAAGGAAAACUUUUACGGCAUGAGUUUACGGGAUCUGUUCUGCCUGAUGCCUCGCGGUACCGUAAAUUUGUUUUAGAGGGUCCUGUAUACAGGUGGUCUAUUUACGGGAUCUACUAACGAUGCUCUUAUACUAUAUAUGUUUUGCAUGACAGUAAAUAAGAUAAUCCAAAAUACAAAUCUAUGAUACUAUGACAUUAACUUAUGAUAUUACCCAAUACGUUAGUAUAGACAAUUGCUGAUGUAGCACUGUAGUUAAAAAGAGGGAGUGGAGUUGUAUCUUACCUAAGAUAUGACUCUUAACUCAGUUUUAUGUGCAGUACAAUUAAUGUUUGAUUUUUUGUGCCUCAUCUUCUUAUUUUCCACUUCUUUUCUUCUCUUUGCAGCUAGGAAACAGUGUUAAAAUUCCAAAAUAAAUCCUUAAUAAACCGAUUAAAUACAAUAUCACUGAGAUACAACACCUAAAAUACAAUGCAUUGGGAUGAUUGUAUUUUAUUUAUUUUUAUAUAUCUAGGAUAAUGUGUUAAGACUUUGUUCUUUGCGAGCCUUGCCCUUUUCUUUUUCUGCCUAAAAUCAGGCCUGAGAAAUUAGAGCAUAGAAAACUGCAGGGAUGGCUAAUUAAUGAAAGGAUUUCAAACUAAAAUCUUUGCUAAUUUAAUAAGGAUGACAUCUAUACCAAUAUAAAAAGACCUAAAGGGGCAGAUCCAAUUGAUCUCGGCCAUCAAACUAAGUCAAUCAAACGAUCUAGACUGCUUCAAUGGCGAACCUUCAACAUGUUUAACGCGCAAUUAAUAUCAUACCAAAUAUUGUACAAAUUACAGAAUUAACACACAAACAAUAGCAUAUACCUAAUAUCCAUGUGCAAUUAAUAUAUUGCCUAAAUAUUAACGUGUAUUGCACAUGUGCAUUUACUAGUGUUAAGAGACAAUACAUUGGAAGUGCCGAUCAAAUACUACUACAAAACGUCUUAUAAAAAUGAAGAGAGAGAUUAUCAAUCAAAUAUUAUAAUAUCACGAGCACGAGCAACAUUACAACGCGAGUGAAGAGAUGAUGGGGCUGACAAGGAGGGAAGGGAGGCAGAGGCGAGUCAACUCCAACCCGCCCGGUCACCGGCCGGAGGGGAGAAUGGCGGAGACGACGGGGACAGCUCAGACCCACCGGCUCCGCGCGCGCGCCGAGGCGGCGGUGGCGGCCCUGGUGGACGUCCGCCCCCACGAGAUGCCCCCGCUGACGAGCGCCGCCUCAACCUUCUUUUUCGUAAGCCAUCUCUCUCGUCGAAUCUGUACCUUCCAAAUUCAGCCACCAGCGGAGAACGGAAAAUCCUCACUCCAUGGGUGACGCAGAUCCUGAGCGCCUACUUCGUGGUGCUGCCGCUGCGGGACGAGGGGGCCAUCUCUCUGGGCCUCGGCGCCCUCCCGGGCCUCUUCGCCGGCUCGCUCGUGCUCACCGUCCUCGCCGCCCCCGUCGCAUCCCUCGCCUUCUCGCUCCCGUCCGUCCCCAAGUCCAGGGUCCGUGCCUUCCUCACUUGGGUCGUUGCAGUUUGCUCGUGUUUAACGGAAAAAAUUCAACCACAGCAGACAAAAGCAAUGCAAAUAAUGCAAGGAUCCAACAGAACAAAGGACUGUACUUCCCUAACCAUCACACCCAAGACAAGAUUUGCAAACCAAACGCCUUGUUGGACCUAGUUUAAAGCACACACACAUUCGCCAGAACCUAUUUACUAUUUACUACUCCCUCCGUUCUGAUUUACUCGUCGUUGUUUUAGUUCAAAUUUGAACUAAAACCACGACGAGUAAAUCGGAACGGAGGGAGUAGUAUUUAGCAGAACAAAGUGUAUGUUUUUGCAAUGGUCUGCCAUUUCAUGUGGUUUAUGUCUAGGGCUGCAAGUCAUUUUUAAAUAUAAGCUUAUGUUAUUUUCCUUUGUCGAGCCCCUGUUUUUAUUCAGGUAAUUGGCGAUGAUUUUAUGAAGUAGAAAUUUUCCAGUACUCCCUCCUUUCCAAAAUAAGUGUCAUGGUUUUAGUUCAAAUAAGACUUAUUUUGGAACGGAGGGACUAGCAAUUAUUUCUUCUUCACUGAGACAAGCUAAUUCCUAUUACCUGUACCUGCAAUUUCAGGCUUUGGUUUUGAUACACAGGUUCUUCAGCAUAUCCCUUCUUGUAUUUUUUGUGCUUUGGUUUGCCUCGAAGCCGGGCUCCCCAUCUACCGCCCAGGUAACACACACUGAUAACAUGGUGGAUUAUUUUCUCUUUUUUUGUAUGCAUGAUUAGUUUUCCCUGGAGUUCGCUAAUAUCACAUGUUGAUAUUACACCGGAAAAAAAAAA